rnacentral:rRNA from 1 species
AUUGAACGCUGGCGGCAUGCUUUACACAUGCAAGUCGGACGGCAGCACAGAGAAGCUUGCUUCUUGGGUGGCGAGUGGCGAACGGGUGAGUAACAUAUCGGAACGUACCGAGCAGUGGGGGAUAACUAAUCGAAAGAUUAGCUAAUACCGCAUAUCUUCUGAGGAAGAAAGCAGGGGACCAUUUGGCCUUGCGCUGUUUGAGCGGCCGAUAUCUGAUUAGCUAGUUGGUGGGGUAAAGGCCUACCAAGGCGACGAUCAGUAGCGGGUCUGAGAGGAUGAUCCGCCACACUGGGACUGAGACACGGCCCAGACUCCUACGGGAGGCAGCAGUGGGGAAUUUUGGAUAAUGGGCGCAAGCCUGAUCCAGCCAUGCCGCGUGUCUGAAGAAGGCCUUCGGGUUGUAAAGGACUUUUGUCAGGGAAGAAAAGGGCGGGGUUAAUACCCCUGUCUGAUGACGGUACCUGAAGAAUAAGCACCGGCUAACUACGUG